rnacentral:lncRNA from 10 species
UUUUUUUUGCACAACAUGGAGUGAGGACAAAGGGAAGAAACUCAAAGUCCCCACUCCCAUGAAGCCUUGAGUCUAGUAAAGUAUACAAAAAGGUGAACAUAUGGUGAAAGUUCAUGUGUUCAGGAUUAAUGUGCAGACAAGAAUAGGAGCAUUGGGUGGGUGGGGACGAGCUCCCCAGAGACUCAUCUGAAUAACAUGUGUCCUGUGCUUUCCAAAAGUAGCCCUGACCCACAGCUUCAGGUAUAUUGACUCAUUCAGCCUGCAAAGCGCCCUGUAUUAGACAGAGUUCUCCAGAGAGACAGAACCGAUAGAAUGAAUGGAUGAUUAGAUAGAUGAUAGAUAGACAG